rnacentral:rRNA from 1 species
UACGGAGGGUGCAAGCGUUGUCCGGAUUUAUUGGGUUUAAAGGGUACGUAGGCGGAUGCUUAAGUCAGAGGUGAAAGCCUGCGGCUCAACCGUAGGAUUGCCUUUGAUACUGAGCCUCUUGAGUGCAGUAGAGGUGGGCAGAAUUCAUGGUGUAGCGGUGAAAUGCAUAGAUACCAUGAGGAAUACCGAUAGGGAAGCCAGCUCACUGGACUGUAACUGACGCUAAGGUA